UACGUAGGGGGCAAGCGUUGUCCGGAAUCAUUGGGCGUAAAGAGCGUGUAGGCGGCUCGAUAAGUCCGCUCUGAAAGCCCGGGGCUCAACCCCGGGAGGCGGGCGGAUACUGUCGAGCUAGAGUCCGGAAGAGGCGAGUGGAAUUCCUGGUGUAGCGGUGAAAUGCGCAGAUAUCAGGAGGAACACCGGUGGCGAAGGCGGGUCUCUGGGCCGGUACCGACGCUGAGGAGCGAAAGCGUGGGGAGCGAACAGG
rnacentral:rRNA from 1 species